CAAAUACCCAUCUCUCUCUGCAUACACCACCGCCGCCACUACCUCCACCUCCAUCUCCGAUGACCUACAUCCCAUUUUAAUCUUCAUCUAUACACCCAUCAAUUUUUCUCUCUUAGUCUGUCAUACACAUUUAGACUAUAUCUCUCUGUACCCAGCUAGAAGUAUAUAACCUAAAUCCUAGUUUGAUCGGCCACCCCACUACCAUAAACCACCACCACCAUCUACUUUCUUCAACAUCGGCGCCCAGAACCUGUUCCAUCGGCGAUACGCUCUCGCCGGCAACCAUGAAGCCACCGGUUACCCCACCUCCUUGAAAAUCCGGCCUCUUUUCUGUCGUCCCUUCCAAGGAGAUAUUGGAUGAUGUAUUUGCUUAGGGAAACAAUAGAUUUUGGGUAUUGUUUCGUGGUCUCCGGGAAAACGCCUUUUUUGUCGGAAUCAUUGGAGACUGGGACAGCGGUUAUUGUGGUUGUUCGAACCUAUAACCGACAACGAUGUUGAUGAUGAAGGCAAUUUAUAAGACCACCAUCGCCGGCAUACACACCGCACCAAAUCGGAAAAAGGGUCUCGCCGGAAUCUAAAUCAGUUUCUCUCUCUAAACAAACAUACACAAGGUCAUCACAUUAAUCAUCUUUCCUUAUGGAAGAAAGAGAGAUCCCAAACUUACCUACCUCUAUCAGCUUCUCUAUUCCCAGUUUCAAUUAUUAGUGGAGUAACAACAUGAGAAGAUGAGGAUGCAAUUUGUCUUGGUUGUGGAUAAAAAAUGAUUCGCGGAUGUCAUUUGCUGAUCUCAAGUGUCACUGUCAUGCUGCCGUCGUCUUUCUAAUCUUAAAAUCUCAACAACAAUCGAGCUACCACACAUAGCAACCCCACACCCUACAAAUGUUGCAAGCAGGAUCGACAAAACAGGCUGCACAUCACGGCAUUCGAAAGACAACUACAUAGUGAGUGUGUUUUCAUGUGUGAAAGAUACGAAUGAACUUUGUGGGCUGGGCUGCUUACCACAUAGUAGAAAAUAUGUGCGAAGACUACCACAAAAGCGAACUGAAUUGAUGCACAUAACCACUCGAAUCUUCUUCUCACUGUAAAGAGAUCAGAAAUUUAUGAUUACAUAGUAGAAAUAUGUACGGAUGAACUUUGUGUCUAGUCAGGUUGCCUGAAACACAUGUUUGACAAUUUUUGAAAUUUUAGUGAACAAUUAACAGUGUUAAUUAUGA